UGAACUCUGCAGAGGGAAAAGAGGAAACAUUAAGCAGCAGCAGUGUGGUAUUUUUAGUGUAUAUUAGUACAUUUUCAGUACACAUUAUCCAUUAUACACCUGUCACAGCAAGUUUUCUAACUAAGAGACCUGAUGAGAUAAAACAGGAUCGUUGUGUGUGAGUAAAACACCUCAAACAUCAGUAACUGAACAGUUAUGGAUAAAAGCAUUUGGUGCUGUGAGCAUCUCUUACCAUUGAUUUGAACCGGUGUGAAGAAUUUAGCCUGCAGAGUGACAACAAUGAGGCUUCACUUAACGGGUAAGAACACAAAAAUAUUCUACUUAUGUAAGAAAACAACCAAAAAGGCUUAUAGAAAAGUAAUUUCUUGAUCUCACCAUGUCUGACGUUGCUUCGUUUCUUUCCAGGAAGGAGUCCGUCCUGUGCUGCUGACUCACUUGUCCCUCCACCUCUGGCUAAAGUCCACCACCUGCCUUCCAGAAACGAUCGGCAGGAACCUUUUCUCAUCUGAGUUUUUACAGAUCGUUGCUGCAGCGUUUAGCCAUCCGUUGGCUGAAUUCUUUCAGGUUUCAAGAACCUCCAGGAGCAUCCUGACGACAGAAUCCAACACUCUGGUGCAGCUGGUAGCCACUCAGGAUGAGCCGGUGGUUGAUGGAGUCUCCCACCAGGUGGAUGCUGGCUCCCAUGACAAAAGUGAUGAUGCAGAGGAACUGGAGUCAGUAGCUGCAUUGUCUUUCUUCAUGUCAAAUAUCGUUGAUGGUGAUGUGAUGGAUGCACACUGGAUUACCAGCUGACUCCCGAUAGGCACCAUUCUGUCUUCCUCCAUUCCACACUAGAGGCAUCAGCAAGCUGCCGUGUUUUUCCUUUAGUCCAAAGAAACAUCUGUCAUAAAGGUAAUGAAUAGGGAUGUCUGAUAAUACUGGUCCACUGAUAUUAUCUACCAGAUAUUGGUAUAAAAAUAAUACCAGUCAAUAUCGUUAUCAGGUUUUUUUUCCUAUCAUGAAAAUCGAUGAAGUAAUGCCUGGAUUUAUGUAACAGACUCAUAGAGGGAGGGAGGGAGAGUGUCAUCUGUUGUUUGAGACAAUAAAACAAUUUUAAAAAGGCAUUUUUUCCAUAACUUUAGUUGAAGUACUUUUCUUAUUUUACAGACAAUGUUUACAUCUGAGAAUGCAUCCAAUGGGGCAUCACAAUAAAAUGAGGCCUGAUGUGUUAAUUCCACCACAGGAGAUAUGAGAUGGUACCUAAACUUAGUUAAACAGCCCACAGAUAUCCGUAUCGGUUGAUAACGGAAUCGGAAAUUGAGAGUUGGACAGUAUCGGCAAAAAAGCCAAUAUCAGACAUUCCUAGUCUUUGUCUAUUGGACUCUAGAGGCAUCAGCAAGCUGCUGCGUUUUUCCCUUGUUCCAAAGAAACACCUGUCGUAAAGGAAUAAUACAAAGCAAGUAGCUCGUUUCAUUUUAUUUUUAAGAUUAUUUUUCAGGUGUUUUUGCUUUUGUUGGACCAGCUUUACUUCAGGUAUUUUACGAUGUUUUCUACCCAUUUCUGUGCUUUGCAGUUCUUGUCAGUGCAGACACUCAGGAAUCAGACCCCGACGCGUCGGUAUGUCACUACUUUAUUACUUUGUCUGGUUUGAAAUGAAGCAUUUUGGAUUCUUGAAACUAAGACAAAAUGAAAAUGUUCCAGCCAUGUUAAGGUCAUACAUUCAAAGACAGAUGUUGCAGUUCUAAGCACCAACAGGACAGAGAGAGGACCGCUGAUCAUCAAGUAGAGCUACCACUCACGGAAUAAUCAGCCAUCAAGUAUGAAAUUAAUCUGCAGCUGUUUUGAUAAUUGAUUAAUCUGUUUAGAAGAAAAAAGACCACAUUCUCUGAUGUGACAGUAAACUGAAUAUUUCUGGGUUGUUGAGGGCAUCAAACAAUCGAUUAUUUAAGAGAAUAAUACAUAGAUAAAACAACUAUUUAAAUAAUACUUAAGAUGACUUAACUGCAUGUAACAAAAAAGAAGAAGGAAUAAAACAUGCAGCAAUCAAACACCUGUGACUCAGGUUAAUUAGAUAUGAAGAGUACAAAACAAAAUGAUGAUCAAGGCCUGAAAAUGUCAGAAAACAUCAAAAUCAUGGUCAGAAGUGGCAAAAUGUGAAGUAGAAUCUGAAUGACUGAGAUGUGUUCUCUUAUUAUUCAUCAUAACUAACAUAAGGAAUGAAAUGUAAGCAAUAAAAGCUUAAACUGAAGCAAGCAGAGGUUUCUGUUGGUAAAGCAACACAACACCAGCACAGACUGGUCUGAUGGAGAAAAAGAAAGAUUACUAAACACUCAGUGAGGCACUCCAUAGUUAUCAGAGUACAUUUCUGUCCAAAAGCUUCACUAGGAAACACAGAGAGUCAGUUUGAUGUGUUGAGACUCACCUUGAGCAUCAGGAAUGGAGUUAUGACGUUGUAGGCCAUGUGGAAAUAGUCUCCAGCGCUGGGCUUGUUCAGGGGAAACCACUCGAGAGGAAGGAUGAUCUAAAACACAAACAUGCGUCUGUAAUCCUUCUUUUAUUUCAUUCUGAGCUACACAACAAGCGCAGCGAGCCUCGUUACCAUGGCGAUCGGCCUGCCAAAGUCCAGUAUCCAGUUCUGCAGAGUCAGGAAGAGCCACAGGUCGGAGUGGAAGUGCUGCUGUUCCUUCUGUGGCACAUUUUCCUUCAGAACAGCAGGAGUGCUGUAAACCCACAUUAGCAGAGGCUAUGAAGCUGCACCAGCGGUGGAACUAUUUGUGAACUGUUCAGGUUUUUGAAUCUUGUGUGCAGCUGUGAUUUCCUCCAUCAUCCUGAACACGUCCCUACAGUUCAGCUUGUGCUCCGGGACAACAAAAGGACGAGAGCAGCUGAACAUGGCGCCGACGCUUCAUUCCCGCCUGUUCGGCUGCUUGUCAGCUCCAUUAGAAUGGAUACAGAGCUGUCAGCAUCCAUGUCGGCCUCAAACCUUUUCUCUCGUCACUUGGACGUCUAGACAGCAAUUAGAGGAGGAAAGAUGAAGUUUCUUCUCCAAGCGAUCAUUAUAUUGUGUGUGGAUUGACAAACAUCUCAUAUUUACUUGCCAAGUUCUACUUUGGGGUCUUAUCUGUCUAAACUCUUCUUAGUGUGGCUGUUUUGUGACUUUUAGGUGAACUUGUGUAUUUUACUCUUGUGGAUUCGGUGCCACUCCAUGAUUACUCCUCACAACUGGGAGGAUGUUUAGAACUGGAAAACUAGUUUCCAUACUUUCAUAAAUGAAGUUACCUGAACUUUGUAGCACCUUGUUUGGCCUUAAACUCUUGUGUACGCUCAUAUUUUUCUGAUUUGUGCCCAGCAUCACUAAGUUUGCUGUCCAGGACUGUGUUUCGUGUUUGGAAUUAGACUUCAUCCAGCCUCUCUGUAUCUGGACGGCUUGUGGGGAGGGCAUUGAUCACACCUGGCUGAACACUGAGCUCCAGAUCCUACCUGGAAGUCAUGAGGAGUGAUCAACCUGGAGCUCCAGACCUCCUCCCAGCCCUGGACCUCCUCACCUCCUGACCCACCGGAUUGGUCCACCUCCACAGCUCCUCCUCCAGAAGACCCCAGCAAUCACCACACCAGUAUAUCUACAACCAGAACGGUUGGCAGCUGGGAUUUGUGACCAGUUUCCUGUGGUGCCUCUGUAUGUUUUGUUUGUAUUCUGGUCUGGUCUGUAGGUUCUAUAGCCACUGAGGGGAGACUACGGACAUUUAGAGCUUCGGUUGGUGGCUGAUAAUUCGGUGUGGAUCUUCCGGUCUUAGUGGAGACUGUGGCUCCUGUUAGCAGUCCGCUAACUUCAAGAAGAAGCUAUCUUGUAAUUUGAGUCUUUGUGUAUUGUGUGUUAAAUGUGUGUGUUUAGGGGCACCAGUUUGGUUCAGUUAGUUCUGUGCUCUGUUUUAUUAGUUUCUGUUGCUUGUGGUGGGUGUUGCUGCUGGGUUUAAGUUUGUCUAUAGAGUUUAGUUGUGUUUAGCGAGGUUAGACACUGUUGGCAUUUGUUUGGUUUUAUUUUCUUCUUUGAUUUGGCAGCACUCACCAGUCUUGUUUUCUCUGUUUGACCACUUUUAUGUUGAAUUUGCUACUGAGCAGUAAAUUCCUUUACCUGAACCAAAAACAUUAACAGCCUGGAAGCAUUACAAUAAAGGUAAAGAAGGGUUAGACAGGGGUCCCUCAUGCAGCGGACAUGGGUUCAAGUCUGACCCGUGGCCAUUUGUUUGUCCUUUCCCCACUCUUCUCCCUGCUUCUUCAUCUGUUGCAUGGAAGGAGCAACCAACCCCAACACUACAAGAAGUUGUUUGUAUGUAGCAUAACAUAAACUCGUAGGUGUCUGGAGAUUUGUUGUCAGGAUUGUGUGGGACUAAAUAAAGGAUGUUCUAUUCUGUGUAGCAUAAUAUAAAAUAUAAACUCAUAGUUCACUGAUUCAUUGUUAGGAUUGUGUGGGGCUGUUUGUGCUUGAUUGCAUGAUAAUGACUAACCAACAUGCUUUAUUUUAAGUGCUCUGGCCAUGAAGAAAGUUAAAAAUGAGCAAAAUAAAUUUUAACAAACAAAACCA